rnacentral:rRNA from 1 species
CCCUAUGGUGUGCAGCAGGCUUACCUGAAGCUGACCCUGUCGGCGGCGGUGACGCCCACCUGGGCCAGCGAUCCGCCGGACGUGAUCGGCAAGCUGGCGCCCGAGGAGGGGGUCAUCGACGUCGAUGACAUCACCCACGGCACAUCGAUGGACCUCGGUCUGAUCCCGGCGACGAUCAACGUUCAGCAAACGCCGGGGACCGUCUAUUGGAUCAAUGUCACUAGCUUUGUUCAGGCCUAUAUCUCCGCCAACGGGGCGAGCCAGCGGGCGGGCUUUGUUCUCGAACCGGGCGGGGCGUUCAACCACACGGGGGAUGAGUUCUUUUUCGCGGCCGAUGAGCAUGCGACCUAUGACGGUCCCAUGCUGUACGUGAACGAUCUUCCGGAGCCCGGGAGCCUGGGCCUGCUGUUGGCGGGAGGGC